rnacentral:rRNA from 1 species
UGAAAUCUCACCAGGCCCGGACACUGGAAGGAUUGACAGAUUGAUAGCUCUUUCUUGAUUCGGUGCGUGGUGGUGCAUGGCCGUUCUUAGUUGGUUGAGUGAUUUGUCUUGUUAAUUCCGAUAACGAACGAGACCUCGACCUGCUAAAUAGAGCGACGAAUCCUUGUGAUUCGUUGGUACUUCUUAGAGGGACUGUUGGUGCCUAGCCAAUGGAAGUUCGAGGCAAUAA